GACCACUCCGGUAGCCUAGUGGUUAGAGUGUCCGACUCGGAUGCGGGAGGUCGUGGGUUCGAUCCUCUGCCGAGUCA